rnacentral:misc_RNA from 1 species
GACAAAUUCUCUUCCUUUUCUCUGUAAUUAUCCUUCUUCUGAGAGCUCCUAUCUCCCUACUUUUGCCAAUUUAGCAGCCUUCUUUACCCCAUUCGGGCGAAGGAGGCCUUCUCCUCCUUCUACCCGGUAGUGGAUCUCCCUCCCCACACUGGGUGGGCUGUAAACAUCGUUUUGCUGGUUUGUUGGGUGCAAAUCUGGGCUUCAACAUGAGGGAUGUGAUGUUUAAUCUGCUGACUGGUGUGUCUUCCCAACGUUGCCGUUCCAGCUUUCCUUGUGUUUGUGGAUGGGCUUGACGAGUCUCAUUCUCAAUGAUAAGAUGGUGCUGAGAUAUCCUUUGUACUACGGUUCUUGGUACUGGGACUGGGGAGGAUUUGGUUUAUGUUGGUUGACGAUAACUCUAAAGUCUUUCUCCCACCUGAGCAGUGUCCGAUUCCCAACAGUCAUUGAAGCUGAAGAGCUCUGCAUCGCCCCCUCUGUUUCUGACUCUCGGGCACCCCCAUGACUCCUUGUGUAUUCUUUUGGUCUCCUAGGCUCAAGGCUCAGC